CCCCAUGGAGCUUCAAACCCAACUACACCCCUAGCUCUUAUAGCCCCACAACCCCCCUAGGCGCCGUGUGCUUGGUUUUAGGUUGGGGCGACCGCGGAGUACAAUAAAACCUCCACAAUGAAUGGGAACACCCCCUUAUCUGAGGGCCACACCCCCUAAGAAUUAGAACACUAACAUAAAAUGAUCCAUUACUUGAUCAAUGAACCAAGUUACCCUGGGGAUAACAGCGCAAUCCAUUUCAAGAGCCCCUAUCGACAAAUGGGUUUACGACCUCGAUGUUGGAUCAGGGUACCCCAGUGGUGCAGCAGCUACUAACGGUUCGUUUGUUCAACGAUUAAAACCCU
rnacentral:rRNA from 1 species